ACCUAGCUGGCUCAGUCUGUAGGGCAUGUGGUUUGUGAUCUCAGGGUCCUGAGUUCAAGCCCCAUGUUGGGUA
rnacentral:tRNA from 1 species